UACGGGGGGGGCAAGCGUUGUUCGGAAUUACUGGGCGUAAAGAGCUCGUAGGUGGUUUGUCGCGUUGUCCGUGAAAACUCACAACUCAAUUGUGGGCGUGCGGGCGAUACGGGCAGACUGGAGUACUGCAGGGGAGACUGGAAUUCCUGGUGUAGCGGUGGAAUGCGCAGAUAUCAGGAGGAACACCGGUGGCGAAGGCGGGUCUCUGGGCAGUAACUGACGCUGAGGUGCGAAAGCGUGGGGAGCAAACAGG
rnacentral:rRNA from 1 species